AUUGAUUAUUACUGUGUGGGGUGGGGGUGAUAUAGGAACAUAUGAGCCAUAGAGCCUGUGUUCAAUAAGCCAAUGGGCUUUUAAAGGAGACAGACACAUAAUUAGAUAUUUUUGGCACAAUAUGGUUUAAGUACAACAAUAGUGUCUAUAUAUCAUAUGAGGGAAAAGAAGCCUAGGAGAAUAUCAGCAUUGGGGAGUCAGCAGGAAACCCAUUCUGGGCAAAGGACAGCCUGAACUGAAUCUAACAAAGAGAAAAAGAACCAAGUGAGGUGUAAGGGAACCUCCUGGCAGAGAGGCUCCAGUAUAAAACAUCCAGUAGCAGGGUGUCAAAGCACAUUAGCAAAGAAGAAGGCCUUAGAGAUGAGAUGUGCAUCUGGGGCUGGUCACAAAGGGCCUUUGAUCGCAGUAAGCAGUUUGGACUUUAUCCUACAGACGACAAUGAGGAAACAAUUCAGGUUUAUGAAUAAGGGCAUGGCAUUUGUGUUUUAGGUGAAUCAUGUUUGGUGACUGUGUGAAGAAUGGAUUCGAAGGUGACAAAAGUAGGAAGCUGUUUACAUGGUCCAGAAACCAGGUGAGGUGGGCCUGAACUUACAGCACUGGCAGUUGAGAUAAGAGAGAGGAUAGAGGGGAUCCCUGGGUGGCUCAGCGGUUUAGCACCUGCCUUCAACCCAGGUUGUGAUCCUGGAGUCCCAGGGUCGAGUCCCACAUCAGGCUCCCUGCAUGGAGCCUGCUUCUCCCUCUGCCUAUGUCUCUGCCUCUCUCUGUGUGUCUCUCAUGAAUAAACAAAUAAACUCUUUAAAGAGAGAGAGAGAGGAUACAAAUUCAAGGUAUGUUGAGAAGGUAUUUGGAAGUACACAGCAAGAUGUAGUGAUGCAUUGAAUGGGGAUGAGGGUGAGAGAACAGGAGGGUGAAGAAUGGCUCCCAGGCGCCCAAAUGAGAAAGGACAGGAAGAGUUGCUAGGUUGGAGUUCCAGACCAGAACCAAACUCUAUGCUAAUAGAUCUCCAAUAUUGGCUAUACAUUACUCUUCAAAAUUCCAGAUUCACAUAUUUAACUGCUCACUGGACAUAUCACCUCCAAGUCAGCGUGCCAAAACCAAAUUCACCAUCUUUAGAAAAAAAGAAGAGUCUUUAUCCUGCCUCCAGGCUUUUUUCCUGUAAAUCAGUCAUCAGAGAUGCUUCCAACAAGCCAUCAGACUCCUCGUUUCCUGUAGGAUAAGAUCCAAACUCCUUAGAUUGGCAUAUAACAUCUUCAGUGAUACAGACAUUUCUCAAUGAAAUGGACCCUUUCUCAGUGAUAUGGACCUCUUUAUUCAUCUAUCCAAGAAAUAUGUGUUGAGUAAUCUCUGAGACUGACACUGGAAAUGGCCCUGAGUAUAUAUGGCAAUGAAGAGGAAAAUAUGCUUUCUGACAUUGUGGAACUAAUUCACCAGAGGAACAGCAGGCUUUAAAAUAUUGACAAAAUUAAAAAAUACAUAUUGACAAAAUUUUAUAAUUAUAAAUUGUAACAAAACUAUUUGUUGUUUACUAAUCACAUAUGUUUUUGAUAAGCUUGCUAGGUCCAAGAACGGGGGGUGGGGUUCACAUAGGACAAGCCAGGAGAGUCCUUGGCUUCGCACAGGAUGCAAAUCAAAUGGAACCUGAGAGGAAGUGAGAGUAGUUUAUUGGAGACAUAGAAAGAGUAUAGAUACACAGAGUAUCUGGGAGACUGAGACAGGAAAGGAGACUGAGUAUCAUCUUUGCUUGGGGUCCUGGGUUCUUUUUUUUUUUUUUUUUUUUAUUUAUGAUAGUCACAGAGAGAGAGAGAGAGAGAGGCAGAGACACAGGCAGAGGGAGAAGCAGGCUCCAUGCACCGGGAGCCCGACGUGGGAUUCGAUCCCGGGUCUCCAGGAUCGCGCCCUGGGCCAAAGGCAGGCGCCAAACCGCUGCGCCACCCAGGGAUCCCAUGGGGUCCUGGGUUCUUAAUGAGGAUCAUGGUCCUAAUGUGUCUUCUCAGGCAUCCAAGAACAAGUGUUUAGGUCCUCCAUGAGUCACUUAUGCCCUGGAGUCAGGGAUCUUGGUGAGUCAGUGGUCUUGGAAAAUUUUCAUGACAACCCCACCUGGUCACUCCUUAGAGUGACCCACUCUAUUGUGCUGGAAGGGUCCAAAGAAACAUUAACCCUUUGACCUUUACAAAGAGGACAUAUACAUUAUCUGUUCUAUAAGGCAUGUGUAAGGCAGGGGUGUAGGUCCUAGCAAAAAUAGAAGCAGGAAAAGGAGCAAAAAAAGCAGCUUUUCAUGGGGUCCCUUUAUUUUUCUUAAUAAUUAAUUUAUUUUUUAUUGGUGUUCAAUUUGCCAACAUACAAAACAACACCCAGUGCUCAUCCCGUCAAGUACCCCCCUCAGGGACGCCUGGGUGGCUCAGCGGUUGAGCAUCUGUCUUUGGCUCAGGGUGUGACCCUGGAGUCCUGGGAUCAAGUCCCACAUCGGGCUCCCUGCAUGGAGCCUGCUUCUCCCUCUGCCUGUGUCUCUGCCUCUCACUCUCUCUGUGUCUCUCAUGAAUAAAUAAAAUCUUAAAAAAAAAAAAGAAGAGGAAGUUUAUUUAAAAAAAAGUGCCCCCCUCAGGGCCUGUCACCCAUUCACCCCCACCCUCCGCCCCCCUCCCCUUCCACCACCCCUA
rnacentral:lncRNA from 1 species